CCCUCGGUUACCAUGGUUACAGACAACAUAAGAGCUGGCUCUAGUACAGGACGGGCUUCAGGCAGCCUCACAGAAGGCCCUCUCACCCCGCCUUAGACCCUGUCCUUGUUACUUCGUGUGAAGAAUGAUACACUCAACAGUCUCCAGUUCUCGAACCUGCUCAAGUCCACAGGGACCCACAAAGUUCUCACAGCCCCCGAGUGAUGGAAGACUCCCCAGGCAAGAGUCAGAUGUCCCAAAAGUUUAUGAGACAUGGGCUAGAAGAAUGCUUAAGAGCCCAGACUCUAGUCCAGUCCCACCACUGACUAGCUACGCAACUCUGAGCAAGACAGGAUAGAAGCCCAGGUUGGCCUGGAACUCGCUGUAUAACCUCAUGUUCACUUCAAACUAUUGGAAAUCCUGGCUCCACUGGCAUUACGGGGAUGAACCACCACACCUAGCUUCAAUCUUCUCUAUCAGACUUUUUUUAAAGCCCCGUGGUGCUUACAGAACAUGCUACACAUUCAACUACUAACUCCUCCCUGCAGUGACUAAUUUUGACCUGACACCCACACUGUAAAUUCCAAGAAGACAAAUAUUUUGCCUGUCCUGUCUGACUAUAUUCCCAGGGCCAGGACUGUGCCUGAUGGGAAGCAUGCAUUUGACAAAUAAAUAUGUCCUGCAAGGAUUAAAAGUAAAA